rnacentral:tRNA from 1 species
GGUGAGAUGGCCGAGUUGGUUAUGGCGUCAGGUUAAGGCUACCUUAGCAUUACAUUUCCUGGUGGAGCAAUCCUCCUGGGUUCGAGUCCCAGUCUCAUCA